ACCUUGGAAGAAGGAGGUGAAAUUUUCAGUUUAAACAAAAAAACAAAAAAACAAAAAAAAAAAAAAAAAAAAAGAAAAAGAAAAAGAAAAAGAAAAAAAACACGAAGGCUUGGACCAAAGUCCUCCAUUUCCCCUCCUUCCUUCUUCUCUCCGCCGCCGUCACCGUCGUCACCACCACCUCCGCCGCCGUUCUUUCCUCCUCCUCACGGUAAUUCCUCACCUUCUUACCGAUCUCAAUUCUAUCCUAAAAUCAAUCCUAAUUCCUCUAUGGAAGACGUGUUCUUGUUGUUACAUUCAUUUUUCCAGUACCGGUAAAUUUUUUGACAGAAUUUGGGCUUAUUGGGAGAGAGAAAUCUUUGUAUUCCUUUCUCAUCUCUCUCUCUCUCUCUCUCUCUCUCUCUCUCUCCUUUCACUUUUGUAUUGUACGUAUGUCUUUGAGGGGGCCUCUGAGAUUGUUGUCAUCGGAAUUUUGAUUCUUCUUCUUUUUUCUUUUGAGCUUCCUCACGUGGGGGGAAUUGCGGGCGAAGAGGUAGACGAGGUUGCGGGGAUUGUUUUUUUAUUCUAGUGUUUCUUUUGGGAUUGAUUGAAACAGAGGAUUCUAGUUCUAGGGUUCCGGCGAUGGGAGUUGGUUGAUGUUAUGUGGAUGGAUGAUUUGGUUGGGAAUUUCAAUGUUGAUGGAGAUUGGUGUUUGUUGUGAAUUCUAGUUCGGAUCUCUUCGGGUUCGGGUUUAAUCCAAGGGUUGAGGGAAAUGGAAGUCGAUUCGUCUAUGUUGUCCGAGGUCGAUCACGAUCUGGCGCAGGACCAGACCACAGCGUCGCCGCCUGCGGAAAUGGAAGGAGACCAGGAUGGAGAGCAGACUCCUGGGGGAAAUGGAUCUCCAAGUCAAUCGCCCGCCACAUCCCAACCGCAGCAGUCGUCUACACCGCAGGUUCAGCAAAUCCCAGUUGUUGGGCCGAGGCAUGCGCCAACGUACUCGGUGGUGAAUGCGUUAAUGGAUAAGAAGGAAGAUGGCCCAGGGCCGCGUUGCGGCCAUACGUUGACUGCGGUGUCCGCUGUUGGUGAGGAUGGGACUCCGGGAUACUCAGGGCCGAGGCUUAUCUUGUUUGGCGGUGCCACUGCUCUCGAGGGCAACUCUGCAGCUGCAGGGACUCCAACGUCCGCCGGAAAUGCUGGCAUCCGAUUAGCUGGUGCAACUGCUGACGUGCAUUGUUAUGAUGUUUUAACAAAUAAAUGGACCAGGGUUACUCCACUUGGAGAACCACCCACUCCAAGGGCUGCUCAUGUAGCAACUGCAGUGGGAACAAUGGUAGUAAUUCAGGGUGGAAUUGGUCCCGCUGGUUUAUCUUCUGAGGAUCUUCAUGUUCUUGACCUCACACAGCAACGUCCUAGAUGGCAUAGGGUUGUUGUGCAAGGUCCUGGUCCAGGGCCACGUUAUGGACAUGUGAUGGCUUUGGUGGGGCAAAGAUACCUCAUGGUAGUUGGCGGCAAUGAUGGGAAACGGCCGUUGACUGAUGUAUGGGCGCUGGAUACAGCAGCCAAACCUUAUGAAUGGCGCAAGUUAGAACCUGAAGGCGAGGGUCCACCUCCUUGCAUGUAUGCAACUGCAAGUGCCCGCUCUGAUGGUCUUCUACUGCUAUGUGGAGGAAGGGAUGCCAACAGUGUGCCAUUGGCAAGUGCCUAUGGGCUAGCUAAACACAGAGAUGGCCGUUGGGAAUGGGCAAUUGCUCCUGGUGUCUCACCAUCUGCAAGAUACCAACAUGCUGCUGUCUUUGUAAAUGCACGACUUCAUGUUUCUGGAGGGGCACUUGGUGGGGGGCGCAUGGUGGAAGAUUCAUCAAGUAUUGCAGUGUUGGAUACGGCAGCUGGCAUCUGGUGUGAUACAAAAUCGGUUGUAACAAGUCCGAGAACAGGAAGAUACAGUGCAGAUGCUGCUGGUGGGGAUGCUGCAGUCGAGUUAACUAGGCGUUGUAGGCAUGCAGCCGCUGCUGUGGGUGACUUAAUCUUCAUUUAUGGUGGUUUGCGGGGUGGGGUGUUGCUUGAUGACCUUCUUGUUGCUGAAGAUCAAGCGGCUGCUGAAACAACAAGUGCAGCUUCACAUGCUGCAGCAGCAGCUGCUACAUCCUGCAUUCAGUCUGGCCGGCUGGCAGGAAAAUGUGGAUUUAGUGAUGAUAGGAGUAGACAUGCUAUUCAUGUUGUAGCUCCUGAUGGUGCUGUAGUGCUGGGAAACCCAGUAGCUCCUCCUGUAAAUGGUGACAUGUAUACUGAUAUAAGCACUGAAAAUGCUCUACUCCAGGGCCCCCGGAGAACGAACAAAGGUGUUGAGUAUUUGGUUGAAGCAUCAGCUGCUGAAGCUGAGGCUAUAAGUGCAACACUUGCUGCUGCCAAGGCCCGACAAGAACAAGACAAUGGGGAAGUUGAACUGCCUGACAGAGAUCGAGGAGCAGAGGCUACUCCUAGUGGGACACAAAUAUCAAGUCUGAUAAAGCCCGACUCAGAUGCAUUGAAUAACAUUGCUCCUUCUGGAGUUCGAUUGCAUCAUAGAGCUGUAGUUAUAGCUGCUGAAACUAGUGGGGCAUUAGGUGGUAUGGUUAGGCAACUUUCAAUUGACCAGUUUGAAAAUGAAGGUCGUCGGGUGAGCUAUGGUACCCCAGAGAGUGCAACUGCUGCAAGAAAGCUCCUAGAUCGACAGAUGUCCAUUAACAGUGUCCCGAAAAAGGUCAUAGCUCAUCUCUUAAAACCUCGUGGAUGGAAGCCUCCUGUUCGCCGGCAAUUCUUUUUAGAUUGUAAUGAAAUAGCUGACCUUUGUGAGAGUGCUGAAAAGAUAUUUUCAUCUGAACCAAGUGUUCUAGAGCUCAAGGCUCCAAUCAAGAUAUUUGGCGAUCUACAUGGUCAGUUUGGUGAUCUCAUGCGCCUUUUUGAUGAGUAUGGUGCACCUUCUACAGCAGGGGACAUUGCGUACAUUGAUUAUCUUUUCCUGGGAGAUUAUGUUGAUCGGGGCCAACACAGCCUGGAAACCAUCACUCUCCUGCUAGCUUUAAAGGUUGAGUAUCCAAAUAAUGUGCACUUGAUUCGUGGGAACCAUGAAGCAGCAGAUAUAAAUGCCCUUUUUGGCUUUCGGAUUGAGUGCAUUGAACGAAUGGGUGAAAGAGAUGGAAUUUGGACAUGGCAUCGGAUAAAUCGUUUGUUUAACUGGCUCCCUUUGGCAGCCUUGAUUGAAAAAAAGAUCAUUUGCAUGCAUGGCGGCAUUGGUCGGUCGAUUAACCAUGUGGAGCAGAUUGAGAGUCUUCAGCGUCCUAUAACUAUGGAAGCAGGCUCAAUAGUACUUAUGGACUUGUUGUGGUCUGACCCCACGGAAAACGACAGCGUUGAAGGCUUACGACCGAAUGCUAGAGGUCCUGGUUUAGUUACUUUUGGGCCCGAUCGUGUCAUGGAAUUCUGUAACAAUAACGAUCUUCAGUUGAUAGUACGUGCUCAUGAAUGUGUCAUGGAUGGGUUUGAACGUUUUGCUCAAGGACAUCUAAUUACACUUUUCUCCGCUACCAAUUAUUGUGGAACUGCAAAUAAUGCCGGAGCAAUUUUAGUUUUGGGUAGAGAUCUUGUUGUUGUUCCAAAACUCAUUCAUCCCAUACCACCUGCAAUAUCAUCACCAGAGACAUCUCCCGAACGCCAUAUGGAGGAUACAUGGAUGCAGGAGCUGAAUGCCAAUCGGCCACCAACACCCACAAGAGGUCGCCCACAAGUUGCCAAUGAUCGGGGUUCUCUUGCUUGGAUGUAGUUGAUGAUUUAUCUGUUGAAUUAUGGGUCGUCUGCAGCCUGGUCCUUCUAAUGCUGUCUGUAUAUAGCACUAUGCCUCAUACAGAAAUAUCCAAUUGGAUCUUUAACACAAAAAUAGCAGAUGAAAUUCUGAUUUUUCAACACAAAUGAUAGGCAUUUACGAGAUAUUCUCAAGAACCAAGUUGCUAGCGGUUUGCUAUCAAGUUGGCCUUGUGCUUGUUGCUUGGAACUCUAACGAUGCUGGGCUGUGUGCGGAUCUUUAAACAGCUAAUGGCAGAUGAGUUGAAGAGUUCGCUUGCUUCUUUUUUCAAAAAUCAACGCCUGUUGGCUGAUAGUUUCUUUCGUCCAUUUUUUUACUCUGUAAAACUAUUCGUUUUUAUUAUUUUAUGAUAAUAUAUAUACAUAUAUAUACAUACACACACAUACUUGUAUUAUUGAAUUACGUUUUUAUUAGUUUUCAAAAAAUCCAAUUCGAUUAUAAAAUUUUAGUAAAGAA